CGUAGGAAGGGAUUGCCAAUAAUUGAAUGUUCGCUUUCUAUUAGGUGUGUAUAUAUAGUCUCAAAAUUACAUGUAUUUGUAAUGGCGAGUAAUAUUUACUAUCCUGUAGGAAAACUCGGGCGACCGCUGUAAUAUUUCUCUUUAAAACAGAGGAAGAUUGCGGCAAUAACAGGUCUGUGAUGCCCUCAGAUGUCCCGGGCCGCACACGUGCUACAUUGAUUAGCGCAGUGCGCAUACUUUCAAUAUGAUACAUUAGAUUGGAUUGUUCUGUUGAGCUCCAUCUAAUACUAUCCGGCUUGAGAAGGCUGGGUAAUCAAUUGUAAGUGCUGGUUCCUCCUCCCGUUGAGCAUUUUAAUAAUGGCCUCUCUACAUCCCUAGCAAUAUGCCUAGUGCGAUUGUAGUUGAGCCUUGCCAUUUAUGCAAGUGUCAAUUCUCAGUGGGGACAGACAUUUGAUAAUUCUUUGUCUCGUUCUUAACUAGGAAUGCCUUGUACGGGUCUUGGUUCAACAGACCACCCGGAAUACGUCCCUGCCCUUUGAAAAAACCGCCCGUCGCUCUUACCGAUGAAUUUCCCUG
rnacentral:rRNA from 1 species